CUUAUUACUGUAGCCUGCAGUCAACUACCAGGCACAACACACCCACCGGACUCAUUACUGUAGCCUGCAGUCAACUACCAGGCACAACACACCCACCAGACUCAUUACUGUAGCCUGCAGUCAACUACCAGGCACAACACACCCACCGAGCUCAUUACUGUAGCCUGCAGUCAACUACCAGGCACAACACACCCACCGGACUCAUUACUGUAGUCUGUAGUCAACUACCAGGUACAACACACCCACCGGGCUCAUUACUGUAGCCUGUAGUCAACUACCAGGUACAACACACCCACCGGGCUCAUUACUGUAGCCUGUAGUCAACUACCAGGCACAACACACCCACCGGACAAAUUACUGUAGUCUGCAGUCAACUACCAGGUACAACACACCCACCAGACUCAUUACUGUAGUCUGCAGUCAACUACCAGGCACAACACACCCACCGGACUCAUUACUGUAGCCUGUAGUCAACUACCAGGCACAACACACCCACCGAGCUCAUUACUGUAGUCUGUAGUCAACUACCAGGUACAACACACCCACCAGACUCAUUACUGUAGUCUGCAGUCAACUACCAGGCACAACACACCCACCGGACUCAUUACUGUAGUCUGCAGUCAACUACCAGGCACAACACACCCACCGGACUCAUUACUGUAGUCUGCAGUCAACUACCAGGUACAACACACCCACCAGACUCAUUACUGUAGUCUGCAGUCAACUACCAGGCACAACACACCCACCGAGCUCAUUACUGUAGUCUGCAGUCAACUACCAGGUACAACACACCCACCAGACUCAUUACUGUAGUCUGCAGUCAACUACCAGGCACAACACACCCACCGGGCUCAUUACUGUAGCCUGUAGUCAACUACCAGGCACAACACACCCACCAGACUCAUUACUGUAGUCUGCAGUCAACUACCAGGCACAACACACCCACCGGGCUCAUUACUGUAGCCUGUAGUCAACUACCAGGCACAACACACCCACCAGACUCAUUACUGUAGUCUGCAGUCAACUACCAGGCACAACACACCCACCGGGCUCAUUACUGUAGUCUGCAGUCAACUACCAGGCACAACACACCCACCGGGCUCAUUACUGUAGCCUGUAGUCAACUACCAGGCACAACACACCCACCGGACUCAUUACUGUAGCCUGCAGUCAACUACCAGGCACAACACACCCACCGGGCUCAUUACUGUAGUCUGUAGUCAACUACCAGGCACAACACACCCACCGGGCUCAUUACUGUAGUCUGCAGUCAACUACCAGGCACAACACACCCACCAGACUCAUUACUGUAGUCUGCAGUCAACUACCAGGCACAACACACCCACCGGGCUCAUUACUGUAGUCUGUAGUCAACUACCAGGCACAACACACCCACCGGGCUCAUUACUGUAGCCUGUAGUCAACUACCAGGCACAACACACCCACCGGGCUCAUUACUGUAGUCUGCAGUCAACUACCAGGCACAACACACCCACCGGACUCAUUACUGUAGCCUGUAGUCAACUACCAGGCACAACACACCCACCGGGCUCAUUACUGUAGUCUGUAGUCAACUACCAGGCACAACACACCCACCGGGCUCAUUACUGUAGCCUGCAGUCAACUACCAGGUACAACACACCCACCGGACUCAUUACUGUAGUCUGCAGUCAACUACCAGGUACAACACACCCACCGGGCUCAUUACUGUAGCCUGUAGUCAACUACCAGGCACAACACACCCACCGGGCUCAUUACUGUAGCCUGCAGUCAACUACCAGGUACAACACACCCACCGGGCUCAUUACUGUAGUCUGCAGUCAACUACCAGGUACAACACACCCACCGGGCUCAUUACUGUAGCCUGUAGUCAACUACCAGGUACAACACACCCACCGGGCUCAUUACUGUAGCCUGUAGUCAACUACCAGGCACAACACACCCACCGGACUCAUUACUGUAGUCUGCAGUCAACUACCAGGCACAACACACCCACCGGACUCAUUACUGUAGUCUGCAGUCAACUACCAGGCACAACACACCCACCGGACUCAUUACUGUAGUCUGUAGUCAACUACCAGGCACAACACACCCA